CCACGCCCAAGCCAAAUAAGGAGUUGUUUAUCCCAGAGAACACCUGCCAUCAGGAAGGCGGAAGCCGGACGCCGGUGCCAUCUUUGAGGCGCGGCCGUGCACGGCUCUCUACAAAUGUGGCCAUGGUGGAAAGAGAAUCAAAUAAAGAGAUUCGGCAACCCACAAGCCAUUUUGGGACUGUUUCUACAAUCUAUAAGGAAAAAUUAAAGAUCAAGAACAGCUGUGACUGGAGAGCUGGCUCAGCAGGAGGAGCACUUACGACUAUUGCAGAGGACCCAGGAUUGGUGUUUUGAUCUCGUUCUGCAAUGGGAGCACAGCGGGGCACCAUCGGACUAGGCAGAGAAGUCUGGUAGAGUUGACUCUUGAAGAAAACAUAAGCAAUAAACAAGUAAAGAGGUAUCUGGAAAUAACGCCGUGUUCAUUAAAUUCUUGUCCACGGAGCAAAUUCAGCUGGCUUUAUUUAUUGGAUGGCUUCUCAGCCAGAAGAUGUCCACAGAAUGCUUACCAGGUCCAGCAGAAAACUCUAUGGUUUAUUCUGGCCAGCUGAACGUGGACUCCACCCUCUGAAUCAAGGUUUAACUCCAUUGGCAGUCUCAGAGCGACAGUACAAACAAAUCUCCCGCAACAGGAAUAUUGUGUUUUGAGAGCUAUAGUGUCCCACGGUCAUGUGCUUCUCUUGGUGCCUCUCAUUCAAGCAUGUCUUCCCUGUUCCCAAACAGCCACCAGCCAGCAGGCAGUUCUUGCUCACCCACCCCCUUGUCUUUAUCAGGUUCAAGUUAGCAUGCAUUUAUGGACCACGUGAUAGGAGCUAAGCAUGGGCCCAGAGAGAACAGUGAGGAUCUGAACUGUACAGAAGGUGCUGGGACGUCACCGUAAUCAAUGCAUAAGAGCAAAUUUCUAUCUGAAGUGUCAUCUGAGCAGAAUUCUAAAGGAUAAACUGGAGUAAGAUAUGCAAAUAAUGGGAAAGAAAACUCCAGUCAAAAAGACGAGCAAUUGGAUAUGACUUUUUAAAAUAUGGAAACUGAUUGAUUUGUUUUUUGAUCUACUUCUUUGUUGUUCCCAAAAGAUGGACUAUGAACAUUUCCUUUUAAUUUCUGGGCAAAUUGAAGAAUCAAGCAGAAGCAAAAGGAACUUCUCAGUUGCUAACAAUUAGAUUCUGAAGCUAAGGGGCUUCCAUGUCUGCUGUGAAAGGACAAGAAGGAUGCCUGGGCAUGUGGAAACUGUAUCAUGGCUGGAGGUCA